GGAGAGGUGGCAGAGCGGCCGAAUGCACAGCAUUGGAAAUGCUGCAUACGUGAAAGCGUAUCGGGGGUUCGAAUCCCCCCCUCUCCGCCA
rnacentral:tRNA from 1 species